rnacentral:rRNA from 1 species
UGAACGCUAGCGGCAGGCUUAACACAUGCAAGUCGAAGGGCAGCAUAAUGAAGUAGCAAUACGGAAUUGAUGGCGACCGGCGCACGGGUGAGUAACACGUAUGCAACCUGCCCUUGUCAGGGGGAUAAGCGGGGGAAACCCCGUCUAAUACCGCAUAUAUGGUUUGGAGGCAUCUUUAAAUCAGGAAAGAAUUAUCGGCAAUGGAUGGGCAUGCGGCGCAUUAGCUAGUUGGCGGGGUAACGGCCCACCAAGGCGACGAUGCGUAGGGGUUCUGAGAGGAAGGUCCCCCACACUGGUACUGAGACACGGACCAGACUCCUACGGGAGGCAGCAGUGAGGAAUAUUGGUCAAUGGGCGAGAGCCUGAACCAGCCAAGUCGCGUGAGGGAUGACGGUCCUAUGGAUUGUAAACCUCUUUUGUCGGGGAGCAAGGGCUCUACGUGUAGAGUGGUGAGAGUACCCGAAGAAAAAGCAUCGGCUAACUCCGUG